rnacentral:rRNA from 1 species
ACGCUGGCGGCACGCCUAACACAUGCAAGUCGAACGAAGUAGCAAUACUUAGUGGCAGACGGGUGAGUAACAUGUAGGUAUCUGCCCUUUGGCCUGGAAUAACACGAGGAAACUUGUGCUAAUACCGGAUAAGUCUUUACGGAGAAAGCUUUAUGCACCAUUGGAUGAGCCUGCACUUGAUUAGUUUGUUGGUGGGGUAAUGGCCUACCAAGACUGUGAUCAAUAGCUGAUUUGAGAGGAUGAUCAGCCACAUUGGGACUGAGACACGGCCCAAACUCCUACGGGAGGCAGCAGUGGGGAAUCUUGCACAAUGGAGGAAACUCUGAUGCAGCGAUGCCGCGUGAGUGAAGAAGGCCCUUGGGUUGUAAAGCUCUUUCGUCGGGGAAGAAAAUGACUGUACCCGAAUAAGAAGGUCCGGCUAACUUCGUGCCAGCAGCCGCGGUAAUACGAAGGGACCUAGCGUAGUUCGGAAUUACUGGGCUUAAAGAGUUCGUAGGUGGUUGAAAAAGUUAGUGGUGAAAUCCCAGAGCUUAACUCUGGAACUGCCAUUAAAACUUUUCAGCUAGAGUAUGAUAGAGGAAAGCAGAAUUUCUAGUGUAGAGGUGAAAUUCGUAGAUAUUAGAAAGAAUACCAAUUGCGAAGGCAGCUUUCUGGAUCAUUACUGACACUGAGGAACGAAAGCAUGGGUAGCGAAGAGGAUUAGAUACCCUCGUAGUCCAUGCCGUAAACGAUGUGUGUUAGACGUUGGAAAUUUAUUUUCAGUGUCGCAGGGAAACCGAUAAACACACCGCCUGGGGAGUACGACCGCAAGGUUAAAACUCAAAUGAAUUGACGGGGACCCGCACAAGUAGUGGAGCAUGUGGUUUAAUUCGAAGAUACGCGCAGAACCUUACCAACACUUGACAUGUUCGUCGCGACUCUAAGAGAUUAGAGUUUUCGGUUCGGCCGGACGAAACACAGGUGCUGCAUGGCUGUCGUCAGCUCGUGUCGUGAGAUGUUGGGUUAAGUCCCGCAACGAGCGCAACCCUCACUUUUAGUUGCCAUCAUUAAGUUGGGCACUCUGAAAGAACUGCCAGUGAUAAGCUGGAGGAAGGUGGGGAUGACGUCAAGUCCUCAUGGCCCUUACGUGUUGGGCUACACACGUGCUACAAUGGUAUCUACAACAGGAAGCAAGACUGCGAAGUUAAGCAAAUCCCUAAAAGAUACCUCAGUUCGGAUUGCACUCUGCAACUCGAGUGCAUGAAGCUGGAAUUACUAGUAAUCGUGGAUCAGCGUGCCACGGUGAAUGCGUUCCCGGGUCUUGUACACACCGCCCGUCACACCAUGGGAGUUGGUUCUACCUUAAGGCAAGGUUUCAAACCCUUGACCACGGUAUAGUCAGCGACUGGGGUGAAGUCGUAACAAGGUAGCCGUA